rnacentral:rRNA from 1 species
AUUCCAGCUCCAAUAGCGUAUAUUAAAGUUGUUGCAGUUAGAACGCUCGUAGUCGGAUUUCGGGGCGUUCCGACCGGUCUGCCGAUGGGUACGCACUGGUCGGCGCGUCCUUCCUUCCAGAGACCGUGCCUACUCUUAACUGAGCGGGGGCGGGAGACGGAUCGUUUACUUUGAAAAAAUCAGAGUGUUUCAAGCAGGCAGGUCGCUCUUGCAUGGAUUAGCAUGGGAUAAUGAAAUAGGACUUUGGUGCUAUUUUGUUGGUUUCGAACACCGAAGUAAUGAUUAACAGGGACAGUCAGGGGCACUCGUAUUCCGCCGAGAGAGGUGAAAUUCUCAGACCAGCGGAAGACGAACUACUGCGGAAGCAUUUGCCAGGGAUGUUUUCAUUA